rnacentral:sRNA from 1 species
NNNAGCUUGCUUGCCAAGACGCACAGACAUUGGAAGGGGCAACAGAUAUGAGCACGCAGGCGUAUGCGCCGGAGUGAGAAUACCUGUCAGGAUUGCGGGCGUGCAAUGCACGGAGCAAUCCGUAGCUUAU